rnacentral:tRNA from 5 species
GGGGCGAUAGCUCAGUUGGUAGAGCGUCUGCUUUGCACGCAGAAGGUCAGGGGUUCGAAUCCCCUUCGCUCCACCA